GGCAGAUCCAAUUUUCUGCCACCGAAUACAUUAGCAUGGGAUAAUGGAAUAGGACCCUGUCCUCCUAUUUUCAGUUGGUUUUGGCACGCGAGGACCAGGGUAAUGAUUAAUAGGGAUAGUUGGGGGCAUUAAUAUUUAAUUGUCAGAGGUGAAAUUCUUGGAUUUAUGAAAGAUUAACUUCUGCGAAAGCAUCUGCCAAGGAUGUUUUCAUUAAUCAAGAACGAAAGUUAGGGGAUCGAAGACGAUCAGAUACCGUCGUAGUCUUAACCAUAAACGAUGCCGACCAGCGAUUAGGAGACGUUGAAUACAAAACACCACCAUCGGUGCGGUCGUCCUUGGCGCGUCGCGGCUUGCCGUGGCGUGCGAGGGCGGUUUAGCCUGAUGGCAUCGGUGAAUGACUCCCCUAGCAGCUUGUGAGA
rnacentral:rRNA from 1 species